CGUCCCUUUUAAUUAAAUUUACUUUCCCCUCCCAUAUAAAAUUCCACAUGACAUUGUUUAUUUCUUUUUUUAUAUUUUUCAGGUAUACCUCGCAUUUCGAUUUCGAACCCUAUUUUAGAUAUAAUCAAUGAUUUUAAUAUUAAGACCCUGCCCUUCAAUGUUAGGUCACGAGAUUUCCAAACCUCAAGACACGCCUUAAUCUUCUUUAUUUUUU
rnacentral:lncRNA from 1 species